rnacentral:rRNA from 1 species
UACAGAGGGGGCAAGCGUUAUUCGGAAUUAUUGGGCGUAAAGGGCGCGUAGGCGGCUUGGCAAGUGGAAGGUGAAAUCCCUCGGCUUAACCGAGGAACUGCCCUCCAAACUGCUUCGCUUGAGACCGGGAGAGGUGAGUGGAAUUCCCAGUGUAGCGGUGAAAUGCGUAGAUAUUGGGAGGAACACCAGUGGCGAAGGCGGCUCACUGGACCGGUACUGACGCUGAUGGACGAAAGCGUGGGUAGCGAACAGG